UUUUAUUUAGAGCCUCAAUUAAAAUUAACCUGGGAAGGCAAUAAUAAAGAAGGAAAUUAAGAAAUAUAUAAAAAAUAUAUGUAUACAUACUGUAGUAGUAUUAUUUCCCGGUGGUGAUUAGCGCUCACCGCAGGGAAGUCCUGCUGUCUGGAAAUUGGCUUUGCCUCCUAGGAAACCUGAGGAAAAUGCUGCCCUAGUUAAUGCUGCUGUAGCUCUUAGGAGAAGCUUGAAAUUAAAUAGAUACAGGGUUUUCUUUCAAAAUAUGCUCUUGAAUAAAUUAGUUUGCAUCCAGAAAUGGCAUCUGUUUUCCUUGGCUGAGACAUUUCUCUAAAAGUGUUUAGGUAUGCAGCUCACACUUAAACCGGUGCCUAAUAUCUGAAAAGUUUUGAAAAUCAGUUCUGUGUUGUUCUGAACUAAAACAACAGGAAUACUGUUUUAAUUCAAGGUUUUAAGUACAGAAAUGCUGGGGGGUCAAUAACCCUGGGAGAGGGAAAGGAUAGGCACUUAGACAUCAGAUCUCAUGAGGUGAAAAACAGCGUUUGGAAGAGCUGAGCGGCCUGGUGUUCAGUAACGCAUACCAUCUAAGCAUAAACCUUCUCUUUUAUACUUGAGGAAGAAGCUGAAAACACUGGAAGCGUCUCUGUUUCUGUUGGAGGUCACUUGCUGAUUUAUCUCCAAUUCACAGCUCAUUAGAAGAGUCUAUGUGAUGAGUGGGGCACACAGUGCUCCAUUGUUUUCAGCUCCUCCAAACUCUAGAUUACUCACAGGAAUAAAACCUACUUACGGGAUCUUUUUUGUAAGGCAGUUCUUACAGAAGUUGCCAAAAAGUGAAGACGACCACUUUAUUUGCAAGAGAAUAUUCAUUUAUGGGACUUCACUGAUGGUGUGGAUUUGAAAAAAGGAAAAUAGUCUUAAAGCCUUCCUCAGGACAGAGAAUUACGUACAAUUUUUUUCAGUGAUGCUGUAAUCCAGAAGUCUGUGUUUUCAGGAUCCAUAUGUCGGUGGAAUGUCCUGCUCUAUGGCUGCCGUGUUGUCUUGUCAUUUGUACGGCCUUCUGGUUGUUUCACUGCAGUUACUGUGGCUAUGCAGGUAUCUGCACUGAGAGGAAGGGCACUUCCCCUCAGUUUCUUCACUGAAUCUUUUAGGUCUUUCCAGCACAAGAAGUGUUCUGCUUUCUCCCUAGUUUUCUGCUCUACAAGGUCUGCAGCCUUAUUGUAAUUACAUUGCAAAGUUACACUUGCGAAACAUGCGAAUAUUCAGACCAUAUCCAGUACUUAACAAACAUCAAUCAAUCUUCCAGAAAGUUGUUUAUUUAAAGAAGACCUUUUUUUGACUAAGCAUGCUAGCACUAUCGAUAUAUGGACAAAUAGAACCCAGUUUUAUACUGAUCAGAUCAUAGAAUUCUAUAUUUAUUUUUUUUUAUUAUGAUAUUAAGUAGUGGUCAUUCACUUCAUACAAAGGGGUUUGAUUCAACUUCUGGCUAGAACUCCAUGUCCACUCCUACAUUGCAGUUGCAACUUAAUGCUUUACUUGCAUUUUGCAGUCAUUCUGGGGCCAAGUUUUAAAGUCUUCCACAUUUGGACUCUUUUCUAUUUCACAGUAGAAUUCUGCAAGAUUUCUGUGAACAGAAAGCCCCACUGUGUUUGAAAGCAGGUAGCGUUUCUAGUACCUAAUGCCUUCUAAACCUGGUUGGUUUUCAGUAUCUAAGUAAUAAGAGUGACUCAAAGCUUUAGGUUCCUGAGCAUAUGAAAGCUUAGGACUUCAGAGGAACAAUGGACAUCUUAUUAAGCCAUUGUUGCAGUAUACUUUCCCUUCUGACCUAGUGAUGGGUAGUCAGUCCUUUCUGAGACAAAUAUGAGUGAAUUGGCCAACAAAGACAAUAACAUAAGCACAGUUAUUACUUUCUGGCUUGUUAUUAUAAAGCUUUACUUUCACACUCGGCUGUAUAUGUGACUUCCAGGAGAUUGUAAAACAAGUCACAAAAGACAUUCUAUGUUUCCGAUACAUUCCAAUAAGACACUGUUUGCUUUAUCCGGUAAUUUUCAUAUGCAAGCAAUCACAGUGAUUUAAAAGGACUGUUUACAUGGAUGAGUGUUAUUCUCUGAAAAUAAAGAAUGCAUGACAAGCUUCUGUAUUUUUGUGAAUAGAUUUUUGUAAACUACAAAACAAAAUGUAAUUAUUGUAUGACACACGUAUAUUAGAAAAUCUCAAAUGACUUUAUCAGCCUAAUGUCAAGGAGUUUACCUUUUGGAGAUUGAACAGUCUUGUGCUCAUUGUCUUAGUAAAAAUGGUGUCUGAUACCACUUGUCCAGAUGGAACAAAACAUUCUUCCGUUUGUAUUAAAUAGCAAACAUUUGCAAAGAAUAAUUAUAUUUAUGAGAUAUUGCUCAAAUGACUUUUUUUUUUUUUUAUUUCUCAGGAUUUCUUACUGGUUUGUCAAAACAUGCUGAUUUCAGACCUUUUGGCAGUCUAAUGUUUCUUGUGGCUAUUGAUGAAAAAGGCAGUCUUUUGUGUCCACAAAAAAACAGAAUGAUUCAAGGUUGUGUCUUGCCUACGCUGUCACACUAAAUUGUUUGUCGUUGGUGUCUAACCUGCAAACUGUAAAAUUAGACAAAUUUCUAAUGUGUUUUUUUUUUCCUGAUGUGAAUAAAUUCUCUACCGAAUACUUGCAGAGAGAGAUGCUUGUUGUCAAGCAAUUAUAUCGGAUGAAACAUACAGUAGCAUAAUAUUAUAGUCUGAAAAUAUUUUAGCUAAUUUACAGGCAUGAAAUCUGAAGAUGAAUUCUGGGAAUUUAGGGAAGGGAAAAGACAUGGUUUUUGGUUUUCUUAAUUUUUUUUUCGUUCUUGUCCUCUGUAAUUUGCAGCAAUUGUUUUGAAUCUGUAAGUUCUCAGCUUAUGAAAAACAUUAUGGCUGAAGGUAUAAAGAAGAAGACAUUAAAGCUUUUGCCCACUUACGGCAAUUACUCUGGAGACAAACACAACUCAGAAGACAAAUGUUAUGAGCUACCUGUAAGUUCUGGUUCACAAAACAGAUAAAGAGACAGAGAUAACUUCUAGACUUGCAAAUAAAAUUUAUUCUCAGUAUAAUGGUUGAGCUCAUUAUCUGCUGCUCUUUCUAAGUGUAAAGUAAGGCGUGAAAUGCCCGUAUAUUCUAUAUACAACAGCUAACAUGUUUUCUGCAUUCCUGUAUUUGCCUCAAAAGUCAUGGAUAAUCAACUUAAUUUGAUGUGCAAAAUAUAAUGCAUGGAUGAGUUCUGAUACAUAUCCCUUGCUAUGUCUGUGCUGUUAUGAGAGGCAAAAACUUCCAGAAAAGAAACAGCAAUGAAAAUAUUCCUGAUAAUUUUCUCAUCAGUUUUUCUCCAAGGACAUAUCUGUAGGUGGAUUCUACAAACAGUGUUUGGUUUUUUCCUCUGUGAAUGGCUGGUUCCUUAUGUGUCAGUUAUUUUCUCAUGGUCUUUCUUGCAGUAUUAGAAAUCAAACCUAC